rnacentral:lncRNA from 10 species
UUUCGAGGUAGGAGUCGACUCCUGUGAGGUAUGGUGCUGGGUGCAGAUGCAGUGUGGCUCUGGAUAGCACCUUAUGGACAGUUGUGUCCCCAAGGAAGGAUGAGAAUAGCUACUGAAGUAAGUUGAAAAUUCCCUCUCAAAAAGGUUUAAAGCCAUUGGAUGUGCCACAAUGAUGACAGUUUAUUUGCUACUCUUGAGUGCUAGAAUGAUGAGGAUCUUAACCACCAUUAUCUUAACUGAGGCACCCAAAAUGGUGAGUUGGGGAACAUAGAGAGUACACCUAAGUUCACAUGAAGUUGUUUCUUCCCAGGUCCUAAAGAGCAAGCCUAACUCAAGCCAUUGGCACACAGGCAGACCUGUUAUCCUAAACUAGGGUUUUUAAUGACCACAACAAGCAAGCAUGCAGCUUACUGCUUGAAAGGGUCUUGCCUCACCCAAGCUAGAGUGCAGUGGCCUUUGAAGCUUACUACAGCCUCAAACUUCUGGGCUCAAGUGAUCCUCAGCCUCCCAGUGGUCUUUGUAGACUGCCUGAUGGAGUCUCAUGGCACAAGAAGAUUAAAACAGUGUCUCCAAUUUUAAUAAAUUUUUGCAAUCC